UGAACGCUAGCGACAGGCCUAACACAUGCAAGUCGAGGGGCAGCACAAGGAGCAAUCUGAGGUGGCGACCGGCGCACGGGUGAGUAACACGUAUGCAACCUGCCUGUAAGCGGGGAAUAACCCGUUGAAAGACGGACUAAUACCGCAUAAUACUAAAUUACUGCAUGGUAAUUUAUUUAAACAUUUAUGGCUUACAGAUGGGCAUGCGCAUGAUUAGCUAGUUGGAGAGGUAACGGCUCCCCAAGGCAACGAUCAUUAGGGGUUCUGAGAGGAAGGUCCCCCACACUGGUACUGAGACACGGACCAGACUCCUACGGGAGGCAGCAGUGAGGAAUAUUGGUCAAUGGACGAGAGUCUGAACCAGCCAAGUCGCGUGCAGGAAGAAUGUCCCUAUGGAUUGUAAACUGCUUUUGCAGGGGAAUAAAGUGCAUCACGUGUGAUGUUUUGUAUGUACUCUGCGAAUAAGGAUCGGCUAACUCCGUGCCAGCCGCGGC
rnacentral:rRNA from 1 species